UACGUAGGGUGCAAGCGUUAAUCGGAAUUACUGGGCGUAAAGCGUGCGCAGGCGGUUCGUUGUGUCGGCGGUGAAAGCCCCGGGCUUAACCUGGGAAUGGCCGUUGAAACUGGCGAACUGGAGUGUGGCAGAGGGGGUGGAAUUCCGCGUGUAGCAGUGAAAUGCGUAGAGAUGCGGAGGAACACCGAUGGCGAAGGCAGCCCCUGGGCUAACACUGACGCUCAGGCACGAAAGCGUGGGAGCAAACAGG
rnacentral:rRNA from 1 species